rnacentral:rRNA from 1 species
CAGGAAGACAGGUGGUGCAUGGUUGUCGUCAGCUCGUGUCGUGAGAUGUUGGGUUAAGUCCCGCAACGAGCGCAACCCUUAUUGUUAGUUGCUACCAUCUAGUUGAGCACUCUAGCGAGACUGCCCGGGUUAACCGGGAGGAAGGUGGGGAUGACGUCAAAUCAUCAUGCCCCUUAUGUCUAGGGCUACACACGUGCUACAAUGGUCGGUACAAUGAGAUGCAACCUCGCGAGAGUGAGCAAAACUAUAAAACCGAUCUCAGUUCGGAUUGUAGGCUGAAACUCGCCUACAUGAAGCUGGAGUUGCUAGUAAUCGCGAAUCAGAAUGUCGCGGUGAAUACGUUCCCGGGCCUUGUACACACCGCCCGUCACACCAUGAGAGUUGGCAAUACCCAAAGUUCGUGAGCUAACGCGUAAGCGAGGCAGCGACCUAAGGUAGGGUCAGCGAUUGGGGUGAAGUCGUAACAAGGUAGCCGUAGGAGAACCUGCGGCUGGAUCACCUC